rnacentral:snRNA from 1 species
ACUAAAAUUAGAAUGAUACAGAGAUUAGCAUGGCCCCUGUACAAGGAUGACACAAAUUCAUGAAGCAUUCCAUAUUUUU